UCCAUGAUUCAUCCUGGGACAUUUGUCAUUUUGGCCACUUUUGUUGCGGACGACAACGAACGCCUGUAAUUUCUAUACUCAGUUCAUGCGUAAUUAAUCCUCCCCCAGUGGGACCGAGCCCUUAAGAACAAUCUCUUUGCGCCACUGC